CAGGAGAACGGUGGCCAGUGGCAGGAUCACCCGUGUGCUACAGAGCACUGGGGACCAUCAGAGGAUCAGCCACUUGGUGCAGCGCAUCCAGGCUUCCCCCUGGAACAACGCGCUAUCACAGGGCCUCACGGCACCCCCCAACAAGACUAGUAUGACCAAGCUGCUGGGCAGCAGUAGCCACAUUUCUAAGGGCCAGAAGGACCAGCCUCCUGUGGUGGACAGGGCACAGGGUGAGAUGGGCCCUUCCACAUCUCAGGAACAACGGCCAGCCAAGACCUGCAAGCCCAAGCACGUCGCCUGGGCACCGGAGCUUGUCCAAACACCCCUGCCCUGCUAGACAUCACCUGCCCCCAAGCAGCCAGACAGGACUGGACGCCCAGUACUCAACAGGGGACAUCUCUUCAGCAGACACAGAAGUCUGUUAAAAUUACCCUCCAAAAGAGGUUUUAUUAGCUGAAUAAAAAAACCUUCAAAUUGCAGACAAAGCCUGGUCCCACCAGCCUCUCUCUUCCUCGGGCUCCCUGAUGCUCCUCAACCUUUCUCCUCCCUCCUGUCUCUCUGCCACCAGACUGAGCACAUCGUGCCCCGUGGCCAGGACUUGAGGCCGGCCCUGGUCCCGUGGCGCCUUGUGGGGCAUCUCUGAGGAUCUGGGGCCUGCUGUGGAACCAGGAGCAGCCCAGGGUGUGCUCAGGCCCCAGGGGCUGCCGAGCCCGAGCCCCUCUUGUUCUUCAGCUGCACUGGAAAUGGCUUCAGGCUCAGCUGCUCCACACCCUUCCCGGGGAUGGAGGUGAAGCC